rnacentral:pre_miRNA from 1 species
AGUGGGAUAGCUGGGUCAAAUGGUGUUUCCAUUCCAAAUUUUCUGAGGAAUCUCCAUACUGCUUUCCAAAGUGGUUGCACCAAAUCACACUCCCACCAGCAAU